CACACCGCCCGUGACACCAUGGGAGUGGGUUGCAAAAGAAGUAGGUAGCUUAACCUUCGGGAGGGCGCUUACCACUUUGUGAUUCAUGACUGGGGUGAAGUCGUAACAAGGUAACCGUAGGGGAACCUGCGGUUGGAUCACCUCCUUA
rnacentral:rRNA from 1 species